rnacentral:rRNA from 1 species
UGAGUCGAGCGGAGAGAAGAGCUUGCUCUUCGAUUCAGCGGCGGACGGGUGAGUAAUGCCUAGGAAUCUGCCUGGUAGUGGGGGACAACGUUUCGAAAGGAACGCUAAUACCGCAUACGUCCUACGGGAGAAAGCAGGGGACCUUCGGGCCUUGCGCUAUCAGAUGAGCCUAGGUCGGAUUAGCUAGUUGGUGAGGUAAUGGCUCACCAAGGCGACGAUCCGUAACUGGUCUGAGAGGAUGAUCAGUCACACUGGAACUGAGACACGGUCCAGACUCCUACGGGAGGCAGCAGUGGGGAAUAUUGGACAAUGGGCGAAAGCCUGAUCCAGCCAUGCCGCGUGUGUGAAGAAGGUCUUCGGAUUGUAAAGCACUUUAAGUUGGGAGGAAGGGCAGUAAGAUAAUACCUUGCUGUUUUGACGUUACCGACAGAAUAAGCACCGGCUAACUCUGUGCCAGCAGCCGCGGUAAUACAGAGGGUGCAAGCGUUAAUCGGAAUUACUGGGCGUAAAGCGCGCGUAGGUGGUUUGUUAAGUUGGAUGUGAAAGCCCCGGGCUCAACCUGGGAACUGCAUCCAAAACUGGCAAGCUAGAGUACGGUAGAGGGUGGUGGAAUUUCCUGUGUAGCGGUGAAAUGCGUAGAUAUAGGAAGGAACACCAGUGGCGAAGGCGACCACCUGGACUGAUACUGACACUGAGGUGCGAAAGCGUGGGAGCAAACAGGAUUAGAUACCCUGGUAGUCCACGCCGUAAACGAUGUCAACUAGCCGUUGGAAUCCUUGAGAUUUUAGUGGCGCAGCUACGCAUUAAGUUGACGCCUGGGGAGUACGGCCGCAAGGUUAAAACUCAAAUGAAUUGACGGGGGCCCGCACAAGCGGUGGACAUGUGGUUUAUCGAAGCACGCGAAAAUUACCGCUGACUGCAGAAACUUUUAAUAAUUGGGCCUUCGGACUCUGACCCUCAUGGUGUCGUCGCUGGAAGGUUAUCCGCAGCGCCCUGGGUGGAUGGGUA